AUGGGGUGCACCAGGCGCGAAACCUCCGCAAUGCGGGAAACCGCGACGGGGGGACCCCCAGUGCCGUGCCUCUGGCACGGCUUUUCCGGAGUGUAAAAAGCUCCGGGAAUAAGGGCUGGGCAAGGCCGGUGGCAGCCGCCGCGGUAAUACCGGCGGCCCGAGUGGUGGCCACUAUUAUUGGGCCUAAAGCGGCCGUAGCCGGGCCCGUAAGUCCCUGGCGAAAUCCCACGGCUCAACCGUGGGGCUCGCUGGGGAUACUGCGGGCCUUGGGACCGGGAGAGGCCGGGGGUACCCCCGGGGUAGGGGUGAAAUCCUAUAAUCCCGGGGGGACCGCCAGUGGCGAAGGCGCCCGGCUGGAACGGGUCCGACGGUGAGGGCCGAAGGCCAGGGGAGCGAACCGGAUUAGAUACCCGGGUAGUCCUGGCUGUAAAGGAUGCGGGCUAGGUGUCGGGCGAGCUUCGAGCUCGCCCGGUGCCGUAGGGAAGCCGUUAAGCCCGCCGCCUGGGGAGUACGGCCGCAAGGCUGAAACUUAAAGGAAUUGGCGGGGGAGCAC
rnacentral:rRNA from 1 species